CAUUUUUUUUUGAUGUUGUUUACUUCAGGGCUAGUUGGGGUAGUAGGACUUAGGCGUUCCAAAAACUAUACUGUAAAUUUUUUUUACAUGUAAAAUUUGUCCUAUAGUGGGGACUUAGAGAGAAUUUGGAAUAAUUAUACUGUAAAUUUUUUUUACAUGUAAAAUUGGUCCUAUGGAGGGGACUUAUGGGUGCAAUAAUUAUACUGUAAAUUUUUUUUACAUGUAAAAUUUGUCAGAGCUAGUUGAUAGAGGUGUUGCAGCCAAGGACCAUAUUUUUGUGUUACACUUUCAGCUUCCCAGCUAUACCAUCUUCAACACAAGGAGAAAGUCCCCG
rnacentral:misc_RNA from 1 species